CUCCCUGUGGCUCAGUUGAUAGAGCAUGGUGUUUGCAACACCAGGGUUGUGGGUUCGAUUCCCACGGGGGACC
rnacentral:tRNA from 1 species